GAAAGCAAAGAAAAGGUUAAGGCUCAAAUUAGGGUGCAAUGGAAAGAAGUAGAUGUGAAUGGGAAGAAGAAAGAAGGCCUAGAUCAUCUCUAAAGUUCUACCAAGAUCAAGCACACUCAAAGAGAAUUAAUGCAAAGUCAGAACUAUAGUUAUACAUGCAUGCAAUUACACUUAGAAAAAAUUGGCCCAAAACUCUCCAAGGUUAAAAAUUUGUCAAAAUUGAACUUGCUACUCUCUAUCAUGCAAAAACUACUUAUAUAGACUGAACUAAUUGCAAAAAUUACUGCUAGAGCUACAUUCACUCAAAUCUAGAGCUAAAGACCUAUUGGCAAUCUAUCUUAAAGAAACAAAACUCAGAAAUUACGUAAAUCAGCAAAAACUCAAGUAAAUUGUGAAACAAAACCUAGACAAAAUCUAACAUAACCUAGAAACACCUAAAAAGACCCAAACAGAAUUACCUAAGCUAUAUGCAAUAUGAACAGAUGGAAACAAAACAAUAUGCUACCUAAACAGAACCUACUCAACUAAAACAGAUUCAAAUAAGACCUACAACAACUCCUAACUAAAACUUCUAUACAAAAAGAAACAAUAAAAAGAGAAAAAAAAUGACCCAGCAAGAAGCAAUAAGAAACCUAAAGCAAUCAGAACAAAAAUGUAUAAAAGAAAACUAAAGGGAAUUUUAAGCAAAGACAGAAACAGAACCUAA
rnacentral:lncRNA from 1 species